AACGAACGCUGGCGGCAUGCCUAACACAUGCAAGUCGAACGAGACCUUCGGGUCUAGUGGCGCACGGGUGCGUAACGCGUGGGAACCUGCCCUUAGGUUCGGAAUAACUCCCCGAAAGGGGUGCUAAUACCGGAUAAUGUCUUCGGACCAAAGAUUUAUCGCCUUUGGAUGGGCCCGCGUUGGAUUAGCUAGUUGGUAGGGUAAAAGCCUACCACGGCGAGGAUCCAUAGAUGGUCUGUGAGGAAGAUCAGCCACACUGGGACUGGGAAGCGGCCCAGACUCCUACGGGAGGCAGCAGUGGGGAAUAUAGGACAAUGGGCGAAAGCAUGAUCCAGCAAUGCCGGGUGAGUGAUGAAGGCCUUAGGGUUGUAAAGCUCUUUUAACCGGGAUGAUAAUGACAGUACCGGGAGAAUAAGCUCCGGCUAACUCCGUG
rnacentral:rRNA from 1 species